rnacentral:rRNA from 1 species
AUUGAACGCUGGCGGCAGGCCUAACACAUGCAAGUCGAGCGGAUGAAGGGAGCUUGCUCCUGGAUUCAGCGGCGGACGGGUGAGUAAUGCCUAGGAAUCUGCCUGGUAGUGGGGGAUAACGUCCGGAAACGGGCGCUAAUACCGCAUACGUCCUGAGGGAGAAAGUGGGGGAUCUUCGGACCUCACGCUAUCAGAUGAGCCUAGGUCGGAUUAGCUAGUUGGUGGGGUAAAGGCCUACCAAGGCGACGAUCCGUAACUGGUCUGAGAGGAUGAUCAGUCACACUGGAGCUGAGACACGGUCCAGACUCCUACGGGAGGCAGCAGUGGGGAAUAUUGGACAAUGGGCGAAAGCCCGAUCCAGCCAUGCCGCGUGUGUGAAGAAGGUCUUCGGAUUGUAAAGCACUUUAAGUUGGGAGGAAGGGCAGUAAGUUAAUACCUUGCUGUUUUGACGUUACCAACAGAAUAAGCACCGGCUAACUUCGUG